AAGUUUAGGUUAAUAAAACCGGGGGCCUUCAAAGCCUCAAACAAGAGCACGCCGCCCUCCUAAC
rnacentral:tRNA from 1 species